rnacentral:rRNA from 1 species
UACGUAGGAGACGAGCGUUGUCCGGAGUUACUGGGCGUAAAGGGUGCGCAGGUGGCGGCGCGCGUGGGGGGUGAAAUCGCCCGGCUUAACUGGGCGGGGGCCUUCCAGACGGCGUGGCUUGAGCAGCGGAGGGGGACGUGGAAUUCCGGGUGGAGCGGUGAAAUGCGUAGAUAUUGGGAGGAACACCAGUGGCGAAGGCGGCUCACUGGACCGGAACUGACGCUGAGGCGCGAAAGCGUGGGGAGCAAACGGG